CGUCGAUACUGGGAUGCUAGAAUGCAGAUGCCGUGCGAGGAAUGUGUGUGUAGCGGUGAAAUGCAUAGAUAUCACACAGAACACCGAUUGCGAAGGCAUCUCACGAAUCUGCUAUUGACGCUGAGGCACGAAAGCCGUGGGGAUCAAACAGGAUUAGAUACCAUGGUAGUCCACGCUGUAAACGAUGAUGACUAACCGUCGGCCGAUACACAGUCGGUGGCCAAGCGAAAGCGAUAAGUCAUCCACCUGGGGAGUACGACCGCAAGGUUGAAACUCAAAGGAAUUGACGGGGGCCCGCACAAGCGGAGGAACAUGUGGUUUAAUUCGAUGAUACGCGAGGAACCUUACCCGGACUCGAACGGCAGGGGAAUGAUCCAGAGAUGGGUCAGUCUUCGGACUCCUGUCGAGGUGCUGCAUGGUUGUCGUCAGCUCGUGCUGUGAAGUGUCGGCUUAAGUGCCAUAACGAGCGCAACCCUUGCCAUUAGUUGCCAUCAGGUAAUGCUGGGGACUCUAGUGGGACUGCCACCGCAAGGUGUGAGGAAGGGGGGGAUGACGUCAAAUCAGCACGGCCCUUACGUCCGGGGCGACACACGUGUCACAAUGGUGGGUACAGAGGGAAGCUACCUGGCGACAGGAUGCAGAUCUCGAAAACCCAUCCCAGUUCGGAUUGGAGUCUGCAACCCGACUCCAUGAAGUUGGAUUCGCUAGUAAUCGCGCAUCAGCCAUGGCGCGGUGAAUACGUUCCCGGGCCUUGUACACAC
rnacentral:rRNA from 1 species